GGUGGUGGAUUGUUGCUGGCCUUUGGGUAUGUGCACAUCCUCCUCCGAUUUCUAUUCAUCCACCUGUGCACUUUUUGUAGGAGUUCUUUCAUCGGGUUUUUGAAGGUGCUCAUUAUGAGUUACUUGAAAAGACUAGUUGACAAGGCUUCUAUGUUCUUAUAAACCAUUGAAGUAUGUUAUAGAAUGAUCUUGUUAUUGGGACUUUAUUGACCCUUUAAACUUAAUACAACUUUCAGCAACGGAUCUCUUGGCUCUCCCAUCGAUGAAGAACGCAGCGAAAUGCGAUAAGUAAUGUGAAUUGCAGAAUUCAGUGAAUCAUCGAAUCUUUGAACGCACCUUGCGCCCUCUGGUAUUCCGGAGGGCAUGCCUGUUUGAGUGUCAUUAAAUUCUCAACUUUAUAAUUUUUUACUUAUUAAAGCUUGGAUGUUGGAGGCUUGCAGGCGUUUGUCAGCUCCUCUUAAAUUUAUUAGUGGGAACCCUGUUUUGUUAGUUCUAACCUUGGUGUGAUAAUUAUCUACAUUUUGGUGGAACCUUACAAUAAUAAAGCUCUAUUGGUUUGGGUUGUUGCAUUUAGUUUGCUCAAUCUGUUCUAUUCAUUGGAGAAAAAGGGAAGUUCCGCUUUCUAACUGUCUUGAUUGACUAUAUAUAACUUAUUUGCUGACCUCAAAUCAGGUAGGGAUACC
rnacentral:rRNA from 1 species